GACACAGUUUUGAAGAGACAGACAAGACAUUGGAGUAUUGGGCACGUAGUGGCUCGUGCUACAUCAUAGAAAUCCUCUUUGGAGAUAACGCCGUUGGGAGACGUACCGGAACCAUGGCUGAGGGUAGAUAGCUAAUCAACUUACUGGGGAUAGAAUUCUGGAAGACCCGACUGGGGAUAACGCCGUUAUGCUGGGCAUUUCAGUGCUGGGUACGUCGUAGAUAUCGCAUCUAUGGUCAAUGCUUUUUGCAUGUUAUAUUCUUAUUUUUCACAUCCCAUUUUUGCCUGAACCGCCCUUUCGGGUUUUCGAUCCACCGGGAAAAUAGAUUCUUUUCUUGCCCCAUUUUUGCCUGAACUGCCCUUUUGGGGUUGUCAAUCCAGCGGGGUGCUCAUUUUUGCCUAAGUCGCCCUUUCGGGUUUUCAACUUAGCGAGCUCAUUUAUUUUCAUGCAUUUUCAUUUUGUUUUUUCAUUCUUGCCAUUGACCACAGACUAUCCUGGGGAAGAGCCUGUUUGUAACACAUAUUGAAAUAGACAUCAACAUACUCUCGCUCAUGCAUGUUUCAUUUGAAUGUACCCUGUUGCUCAGGUUUGCUUUUCAAAAUAGACAAAAAGUUUUCAAUUUUCAAAAUGUUUGUUUCAAGCAUUGUCAUUAUCAAAAUAGAAAGAAAAUGUUUUGUAUAUAGCUUUGAAAGUAGAAGAAAAAAUAGAGUUUCAAACAAAAGCACAAGCUCAAAUUGAUGUAUAAGAGUGGUGGUCAGCCGAAGGCGUGACUCCACGGAUUCACAAAGCUUGGAAAAUGGUAAUUUUAUUGGUUGGUGGUACAUUGAACACAGUAAUCACUACAUUUCCUGGAAAUUUUGAAUUCACAAGCACAGAAGCUUCAGAUGAAGAUGGUCAUUAACAGCUGCAGAUGCCCCAAGGGGAUGGUGGUUGGCCAGAUAUAGUUACUUGCCUUUUGUUUCAAUCUCAUUUUUGCAUGAACCGCCCUUCCGGGUUUUCGGCUCAUCGAGACGCUCAUUUUUGCCUGAGUUGCGUACAAUCUCAGCGAGCUUUUUCAUAUUUGUUUUUUUUGUCCCUUAUUUUUGCCUGGACCGCCCUUUCGGGUUUUCGAUCCACCGGGAAGCGCAUUUUUGCCUAGGCCGCCCUUUCGGGUUUUCGACCUACCACGCUGUUCUUUUCAUAUAUCUAGGCGAAGUAUUUCUUGACUAUAUCAGCAUUCACAGGAUUUGGAAGUUCAACACCAUCCAUGUGAGUAAGAAUUAAAGCACCACCGGAGAAGGCCUUCUUGACAACAUAAGGACCUUCAUAGUUAGGCGUCCACUUCCCCCUUGGGUCGGGUUGCUGGCUUAUCCUUCUUUUCAAUACAAGUUCACCUUCCUUGAAUUCUCGAGGAUGGACUUUCUUGUCAAAAGCAGUUUUCAUUCUUGCUUGAUAUGACUGUCCACGAGCCAUGGCAUCCAUACGUUUUUCCUCAAUCAAAUUCAACUGAUCAUACCGGCUUUGGCACCAUUCAGCCUCGGAUAACUUUGCUUCCAUGAUCACACGGAGAGAUG
rnacentral:lncRNA from 1 species